rnacentral:rRNA from 1 species
UACGUAGGGCGCAAGCGUUAUCCGGAAUUAUUGGGCGUAAAGAGCUCGUAGGCGGUUUGUCGCGUCUGCCGUGAAAGUCCGGGGCUCAACUCCGGAUCUGCAGUGGGUACGGGCAGACUAGAGUGCGGUAGGGGUGACUGGAAUUCCUGGUGUAGCGGUGAAUGCGCAGAUAUCAGGAGGAACACCGGUGGCGAAGGCGGGUCUCUGGGCCGAGUGACUGACGCUGAGGAGCGAAGCGUGGGGAGCGAACAGGAAUUAGAUACCCCG